CUGCAGUCAGUUAAGCCAACUGGGUAGCCUGCUGGUGGGUGCCCAGUGUACAGCACACAGUAGCCUCCUCGGUAGUGUAUGUAGCCUGUUGUUUGUAUGGGCUGCCCUAAGGGACCCUGGAGACACUC
ensembl:snoRNA SNORA70 Small nucleolar RNA SNORA70